AAAUAAAAUGCAAGGAUUACAAUAUGAGGAUGGGGAGGGAAAAUACAGUAUGAGAGACAUUGAAGGAAUGUUAUAGGAGAUUUAUCUUUGAACUUGAGGCCUGGGUUAAUGUAAUGAAGAUCUCUUCAGCACAGUGCUUGUGGAGGGGGAAAUACCAUUCCUGCCAGGAGUCUCCAAGGGGAGUUAAGAUUGCUCAGCAAGGUGGGGUGUAUCAGGACUGGCAGGUGUCAUGUUAGUACCGACAAGAAAAGUCUCAGCCAUUUAUAGUACAGUACAUCUGAUGAAGGUGAGUACUAGAAGCUUAAGUUCAGUUAUAGAAGCAGAUUAUCUAG
rnacentral:lncRNA from 1 species